AUCUCUCCGGUGCCCGGGAGAGGGGCCGGGCGGGACGGUACAGCAACCGGAGGAACCUUGAUUCCCUGCCCCGCAAGCCCAGCACCGGUUUUGCCGCCUUGUCUCGAAGGGUCAACCAGGCCAUCUCCUGCCUCGGGACGGAGAGCGCCCUGGAAAAGGCGGAGGGGCCGGUGAGGAGCAGGGCUUCCCUCGCUUCGGGGCUUUGAGCUUCCCUGUGACCGUCAUUUCCUUGUAGCGUAUAAUUGGGUUGGCCAUUAAUAAUUGCUCGAUAACUGCAUAAUGGUGAAACCUGGUACCACUCAAAUGCAACUUUCUUGCUCGUUUUCACAAGUCGAUGUUAUCGAAAUGAAGCACUUUUCUCUGAAUUGGUGUGGGUUUUGGAAUGAUUUUUGCAGAGAUAGUCACGGUGAGUCACUAUCUCUGCCAGGACCUUGGGAAAAUAAAUUCCUCCAAAAUAAAUGGAGAGGGUAGGGUUUUGGCUGUCCAGCCCUGCUGUCAUCCUUAAAACAAAGUGACUUUAAAUGAACAUUUGUUUGGCCAAAAUAUAGAAAAUAGAUCAUGCUAAGAACUAACAAUUACUUGGGAAAAUGCUUAAUCUUCACUAGUGAUCAAAUGCAAGUUUAAAUGACAGAUGCCAUUUACUAUACCUAAUGAGAUUUAAGUCAAAUUCAUAUAUAUAUGAAUCCCAAUUGCAUGGUGUGGUAGAUGUCAGGAAGGAAACAAAUAGGAAACUGACAUAGGAAAGAAAGAAAAAGAGCCCUAUUUUUUAUUUUUUUUUUUUUGUGAGACGGAGUCUUGCUCUGUCGCCCAGGCUGGAGUGCAGUGGCACGAUCUCG
rnacentral:lncRNA from 1 species